AAAUUCUCUAACACCUUUUAUUCCGUGCAAAAUCUUAUAUUUAUGUCUCUGUAUUUUCCUCUUCCUCACACUGCUAAGAAAGGGAGAGAGGAGUAGAAUUUAGAAUUUAAAUCAGUAACUAGCACAAACCAAACACUAUCCAUUCUCAGGAGACAAGAAGGGCACACGCAGAUUCAGCUACACUUGGCAGCAAAGACUAACACAAGAAAAUAAGACAAGGCAAUGUUCAGUGAAGUUAGAAAUUUCAUGAGAGAGAAUACUUUACCACAAUGACUCAGAUGCCUUCUAAACCUGAAACUUCUUUCAGUUGCUGGGAUCUUUUCAUUUUAAAGCACCCACUGCCAUAUUGCUCUCUUCCUAUUGGAAUUAUAGGUCAAUUUGUGUGAAUUUCUUGACUUUGGAGCCACAGAACAGACAGGUCCCAAUUUGGACUUCUCACUCCAAAUGAUGCUGAUUACUCAGACUGACAUCAAAAUUGGAAGGAAGAAUUAUUGGAUUCAUUAUUUUCAAGUAAAACCGGUACCACCUAUUAAAGCCAAGUAACCAUAUAUUGUAAUUUUGAGCACACAUUAUUGUGUUUCUUUUUAAAAUUUUAUCUUUUUUGUUAGUCAUUUAAUGGUAGCAUAAUUUCAAUUGCUCUGUCUAAAAUCCUACCUCCAUUUAUUGUCUUAUUUUCAGCAUUUCUACAUAUUAUAUUUUUUUCUUUUGAUUUCUCUUCUGAUGAUUGAAGCAAGGAUAAUGCUAUUAUUAGAGUUCAUAGCCAAAUAGGAUCUAAUCUAAUCUGAGGCAAUUGGUCCUUCUGGGCUCUGGGUCUAUCACCAGCUCCUUCAGAGCUCUCUUUUAUCUUGGACAUAAUUCCAAUCCAUAUAAGUGAAACUUUGCCACAACUUGCACCUCAUCAAAGUCAUACAUUGCCAGAUAAACCAUUUUCUUCUUCACCUUUAUUAUAUACCACAUCAGUACUGACAAGUUGGAGCCCAAUUUCUAUGUCCUCCAA
rnacentral:lncRNA from 1 species